UUGCCGGCCAUUCCCGGAGGCGGGAUAAGACGAACCAAACCCUAACCUUAACCCUAACCCUCGUCACUCUUCAACAUGGAGUUCUUGCCGUCCUUUCUGUUUGACUUCUAUUGAGGCAAUCAAAAUUGUACUCUCAAUGAAUGGUGCCAUCAACUGCUUCCACCAGGCCUACAUUUUGAAGACUGAGGCCUUGGUUGUUUUGCAAAAUUCACAAUCACUUUUGAAUUGAUGUAUUACCAUAGAGCUUCACAUUACUUCUACCAAAUGCUUUUUACCGAAUCGACUUCUAGAAUGAACAAACUACAAUGUGAAUUAAUUUUUUUUUUCUGCAACUGAAACUGGCAAAAGUUUUUAAUGCAGUCAUGAAGCUGAUUAGUUCAUAUUGUUCUAUUUCAGGUUAGUGUCAAAAAGCUGGAAAUUGGCAUAUGUAUUUUUGAUAAAGAAAUUAGCCUAGCUAUAAAUAAAAGACAGAAUGCAUGCCUUCCUUUGUUUGCAAGGGUAAAUGUAUUUAAUUGACAAGUGUCUUGCAAUUGAGGAACAUUGGGAUUAUUAAUUUUUUUUAUUUUUUUUUGUAAAAGUAACAAUUUACAGUUUUGAGAUUUAAUAAUUUAUUUAUUAUGAAAAUUGCAUGUAUACCAUACAAGUUCAUAUUUACAUGUA